GACCCACUUUUUGAGAUUCCUUUUUUCUUUCUCUUCUGCAUACAGCAAAGCCACCCUCAUCAUCAUUUAUCGUUUAUUUUUUUUUUUAUCUCUUUCCUCCCUUAACACAUCAAACCAGAUAAGCUAUCUUCUCCCCCACCGUCACAACUGUUUGUACCCUUGCAUGCCAACCGUUCAACCUCUGUUUGCAACACCAUCACAACCAUUGUUCUUCUCUCAUCAAGAUCUACCUUAUUCACUUAAAAGAUUGUUAAUUAAACCAUACUUUUUAACUCGGAUUUCAGACCCUUUUCGGUCAGAUUUCGACUCCCACAUUGCACCUUUUCAAAAACUAUCACCAUAAUGUUACUCCCCUCCAUCUAUUCUACAAAACCCCUAAAAAAAAAUCGUGAUCGGACAACUUUCUCUAACGACCACCGGUGGACAUUCAACUGACUCUAUUAGUACAGAUCUGGAUUUUGCAAUGGUGGAAGACGACAUGCAUGCAACAACACUGAAGUCAUCAGUUUUUGGGGAGUGGUUAUGGUGCAUAAGGAAAUCCUUAUGCACGGUGCAUAAUUGCUUCGUACACCCCAACCCAUUAUGUCAUACACCCCAAGCGCAUCUCUAUUUUCUAUUUCUAACGGUUAUCAUUUCUAUUUUAACUUUUCUGUCCAAAACCAAACGAAAUUCAAACAAAAUGAAAUCUUCAUUCAUCCCCCUGCGUCACUGUGUUCAUCAUCAUCACUGUGUGCAUCACAAUUCAACAUCCCCCACCGUCAGUUGUUCAAAAUCACUCCUGUUACGUCUUCACCACCGUCGUUGUGUUCAUCAUCAUCACCGUCACCAAAAUCAUCAUCACCGUCACCGAAAUCAUCAUUCAUCGUCAUCACUGAGUUCAUCACCAUUCAACAUCACGGGAAGCAUCAUCAUCACCAUUCAAACGAAACAAACAGCAAAAUGAUGAAAACAAAAUAGAUUUGGUAUCCAGUGGAUUCAUUCAUUCAUGGUUUUUAUGCCAAAAUUAUUUUGCUUGGGAGCAUCAGAGCAGAGAUCUCUUUAUUGCUGCAUCAGAGCAAAGAUCGACGUUAAUUGCAUCCUGGUAUUUCCCUGUCAGAAAUGGGCUUCUCUUCCCCAUUUUCUCCAUGUAAUUAAUCUGCACAAUGCACAAUAAAAACAUGCACAUACAUAUUUUAAAAAUCCACCACUUAGUUGUUUUAAAAAUACAAAUAUAUAUAUAUAUAUAUAUAUAUAUAUAUAUAUAUAAUGAUCAUCAUUAGGAAGUGGAAGUCCGUUAAUGGAUUUGCAACUUCCAGAGUUUGCAGGCCUUCUUUCGUAUAUCCAAAAACAUGUGAGCACCAGUAAUAAGUGAUAUCCCAGCUGGAUCUUCUAAUAUGUGCGCAUAUUGGAAAGAUACAAAGCUACUAUGAGUGGGGCACAAAAUUUUGUGAAUGAUAAAACAGAUUGCACCCUUCACCCACGCUUUUGGUUUUUCUAGUGUCUUCAAUAUUCUCUUCAAAUCUGCCACCUUCACAAAAGAUAAAUAAUUUCCAUCCAGUACUAAUUUUGUCCUCAAUCUCUUUAUUGCUGCUUCAGAGCAGAGAUCGACGUUAAUCUGCUUCCCCGCCAUUGGAAGCUCAUACACCCUAUGUACAUCAUCCUCUUUGAAUGGAAGUACCUCGGUCUUGCUUAACGUAAUCCACAUUUACUCUUUCUCAAAGUUUUUAACAACCCAAUCCAUAAAGAAAGUGUGGACUUUUGUUCAAUUGCAGAUAUGCAACAUUCCUCCAAAGCCACUGUCAUUCAAAAGCUCAAUUAUCUCCUCUUUUCUUCUUUUGUCAUGUACUGAAUGCAUAAGCUCAUAUACCUUAGAUAUACUCAUCUUGUGCCUAAGGUAUAUGAGGUUAUGCAUUUAGUACAUGACAAAAGAAGAAAAUAGGAGAUAAUUGAGUUUUUGAAUGACAGUGGUUUUGGAUAAAAGUCCACGCUUUCUUUGCGGAUUGGGUUGUUAAAAACUUUGAGAAAAAGCAAAUGUGGAUUACCUUAAGCAAGACCGAGGUACUUCCAUUGAAAGAAGAGGAUGUACAUAGGGUGUAUGAGCUUCCAAUGGCGGGGAAGCAGAUUAACGUCGAUCUCUGCUCUGCAAUAAAGAGAUUGAUGACAAAAUUAUGACUAGAUGGAAAUUAUUCAUCUUUUGUGAAGGUGACAGAUUUGGAGAGAAUAUUGAAGACACUAGAGAAACUAAAUGCGUGGGUGAAGGGUGCAAUCUGUUUUAUCAUUCACAAAAUUUUGUGCCCCACUAAUAGUAGUUUUGUAUCUUUCCAAUAUGCGCACAUAUUAAAAGAUCCAGCUGGGGUAUCAUCUUAUUACUGGUGCUCACAUGUUUUUGGAUAUACGAAAGAAGGCCUGCAAACUCAGGAAGUUGCAAAUCCAUUAGCGGACUUCCACUUCCUAAUGGUGAUCAUUAUAUAUAUAUAUAUAUAUUUUUAAAACAACUAAGUGGUGGAUUUUUAAAAUAUGUAUGUGCAUGUUUUUAUUGUGCAGAUUAAUUACAUGGGGAAUAGAAACCCAUUAUUGACAGGGAAACACAUGCGGCCAUCACGAAGUGAUUGGGAUGUGAAGACGGCAAACCAAGACCUUCAGAAGGUCCAUGACCUUAUGGGACUUGAGCAUGGACUGACGGCCGGGAUAACCAGACUGUACAGCACCGAUGAAGGCAGAGAUGCAUCUUUAUCAUUGUAGGUCUUGUAUACGGAUCUACACUACAACCGCAGAAACCUUGGAAGAAGAAUAACUGAGGAAAAUAUUGGAACUUCUAGGAAAAAUGAUGCAGUUCCAAAAGAAACAAACACAACCAGGGACAAUCCGAUUGAAGUGAAACCUGAAACAGAGGAGAAUAAGAAUUCAAGUAAUGAAAAAGGGAUGGAAGUACCUGAAACUGAAGAUAAUAGAAGUUUGAGUGCCGAUAUCUAACCCGAAAAAGAAAAGAAAGAAGUUCUAGUGUAGAUAAUGGAGAGGCUCAGAAUGAAUCUUCCAUACCGCAAACAAGCACUCGAGGGGAAGAAAGGUUGAAUAAUCAAGAAGAUGUAGCAGAUGAGAUCAAUGCCAAAAUCAUUGAUGAUAAUGAUGAUGAUGAAGAAGAUGAGAUUGAUGGCAAAAGCCUUGAUGAUUCAGUGAGGAAAGCAUGCAAUAUGGGUAUUUCCUUUACACAGGAAACAAUCUUGAAGUGGCCAGAGUUUUUUGAUGGGAGAGAAGCUUCGAAUGCAGGGUUGAAUAAUAAUGAUUAUGUGAGGACAGAGUCAGUGAAGAAAAAAUGCAAUAGUGAAUCGGUUAAGACACAAUGCAAUGUGAAGCAAGCAAACGUGAUGGACGAGGAGAACCCGGAGGAGCAGAAGCUUUUGGAAUCAGACACAGACUUUGCUUUAGAGGCAAUUCCGUUAAGGUCGGUGUUACCAGAUGAAAUAAUCGACUUGGAUAUUGUUGAAACUGUGUAGACAAAGAAAAGAAAGAAGCAUGAUAUGCUUUAUUCUGGUGGCACAUACCCUGAGCGUAGAAGAUCAAGAUCAGUGAAGAAGUCAAAAUACCUUGCAAGCCUCUACGAUGAAGCUGUCUACGAGUCAAAUGCAACUAAGAUGCAGAAGGAUAUAUCCAACAUUUGCAUGGAGCAUUUCACAUGAUAAGACGAAGAUUUUGUACUGCUCGGAGAUUUUGCAUGCUUUCACUCUACAAAGGAGUGACUUGUGGACACUUCAAAAAGAUGAAUGAGUGUCAUGCUUCGUGAUAAAUGUCUGGGUCAAUUGCUUGAAUUGGAAUCAACCAAAUGAAAAAAUGACAAGACUGGUUACACUAGUCAUCAAUUAUAUAAACAGGUUGACAUGGAAAGACCUGAUGCCAUAGAUACAACGAAACCAGUUGCAUGGAAAAGAUUCAUCGAGAGACUGAAAAAGUUCAAAUACAUGGAUUGGAAAGCUAUUGACCCUACAAUUAGAAUAUAUAAUGACGCCGCCACUAAUUGGGAAUCCGGGUAGUUAUUAUGUAUGCUUCGUUGUGAAUCUUAAGAGCCAAAAAUUUCAAUUCAUGAACAACUUGAUAGGAGAGACAUUGCACAUGAAGAACGACGAAGCGACUGUGUAUAAAAAGAUGUUUGAUGUAUGGUUGAAGGAGGUGGAAGCAUUUGUGACAGUUGUGGAGUCUUUUGCGUGAAGUUUCUUGCUGAAUGGGAGGGUGACAAUACACAAAUGAAAUCUUUCAAAGAUUGGUCCAAAAUGAGAAAGCAUGGGAAGAAUGACAAGAUUGCAAAAAUUGUGGAUUUGAGAAUUGGAAUAUGUUCCACAAUAUUAAGCGACUCAAGCAAUUGCAAAAGAAACUAUGUGGAGAAUGCAGCAAUUUCAUACUAUGAAGAAAUGCUUCAAAAGUUAGCACGUCCAACAUGAUAUGUAACCUCUGAUUAAGGAUUGGAUUAGUUUUAAUGUUUUUUUUAUUGAGUUUGUAUAAAGAUGUUGAUAAAUUUCUGGAUAUGUUCUUGAAUCAAUUAAAUUUCUAGAUGUUCUUUCCA